CUGUAAGCACCACUUUUCUUUUAACUCUAGCAACAUACAACCUGAAACCUAUUUUCUUGUCCCAUGUUAGAAUUUGCAGAAUUUAUGAGAAAAAGGACUGAUUAACAUUCUCUCUGAAGCACAUAUUAUCUUAUUUUAUAGAGGACUGGAGUAACAUUAGUAGGAGCAAGCACAACUUAACUGUGUUCAUGCUUUUAAGCACACAAUAUUAGGAUUAAACUACUACCACACAAGUAAUACAAUGCAUAUAUAUUUAGAAAAGUGAAGAUCUUGAGGUUAUUCUAUAUCACUGCAUGCUCAUGCAGAAUGAAACUGAAAAUAGAAUUUCCAACACCAAUUUGAGUAACUGACACUAUUUCUGUUUUGUUCUACAGGCUUUCAGCCCCAAGUAAGAAGCAGGAGCGCCAUUUGUUGGCAUUGAUGUGUUGGAGUGACACUCCGAAGAUCUGAAGAAAGAAAUUUUAGAAAUUGUUUUCCAACUUAAUGUUGUAUCACUGCACUUAAGUUACUUCUGUGUGUAUCUUCUGUAGAAAAAGAUUAAGCAGUGUACAAAUAUCUUUGGGAUCUCCUACGUCCUAACAGCAGCAAGAUAUACUAUAAAGACCUCACUAGGCUGCACCCAUGAAAUGAUUCAAGAUUUUGAAUGCAUUUCUACUCAUAGAUAGAGAGUAGAUAUUUAAUAUUAAGUACACAACUGGUAAUUCCCUCCUCUCUUUGAAAGGCAAAAACAGGACAUCGAAAUAAGAAGACAUGUUGUGGGGCUGCAAGAGCCUAAAGAAGACACAGAACUAAUCUUAGGAUGAUUCAUGUCUUCACAAAAUUUUCUGGUUAGGUAAUGAUGCUUGCAAUUUGAACAUGAUAAACACCAAAUUGGAUUUCUCAAAUCGAACAGACCUCUGCCACUUCAUUCCAAACAAAUACCCCUCAUGCAUACAUUAACUUUAACAAAGACACAGGUAAUGAAGAAAGCUCAAGAAUGGUCAGGUUUCUUUUGACUUAAGAAAGGAGUAACAGAAGCCCAUAUAAAUCUAGCAACCAUCUAAUUGUCCUGAGAACCAUAGCCCGAUUGAGUUUCUAAUAUGUCUGUGUGAAACAUACAUGUAAAACAUCUUAUCUGUCCGCACAAAAUCACUCGAAACAUAUGCUUCUUGAAAAUAACAAAACAACUUCUAUUCCAUACUAUUGCUGCUUCCAGUAUUAAUAAUAACAAAAUAACAUCAGCAACAGCAAAUGACCAAUUCAGCCAUCUUCAAGAUAAGGGUUAAAAUUUGACAUGUUGACUGUAUAUAGUUUCAUCAAGGACUCCGGGUAAAAAAAUUAGAGACUUUCCACAUUAAAUAUCAUACUUUUUUAGCAAUCAGAUGACGCUUUCAAUUAAUUAAACAAUAUUGAAGCAAAAAAAGUUAUAUUUUCCAGGUUUCUGAUUUUUUUUUGUUUUUUUUGUUUUGAUAAAGUCUACUAAGCUGAUUGGUUAGUAGCUAAUUUUUUUAAACUAAGAAAAUAAAAGUCUUUACAAAUGAAAAAGGAAUAUGAACUUGCAAGGGGUAAAAAUUCUAGAACCAAAUUGAUGUAAGGGGAUACCAAUUUGAUUUUACAAAAUGUCCGAAUAACAUAAAAGUGAUCAUCCGAAAUGUACAUUAUGGUGAUCGUUGAUGGCGUCCUUUGUCGUUGCAUGAAUCCAUAUGUCUGAUGCAAACUUGCUGCCUUGUCCAUUCCAAAAAUUGAAUUGUAAAUUGUCCAUAUGAGGCUGCCAUAGAAUUCUCGCACGUGGGAUUACACUGAGUUUGUUAUUGUUAUAGGCUGCCAUAUAAUAGCCAUCUCCGCAACCCAGUAUGUCCAUAUCUAGCCCAUUCAACAAAGUAACAAAUGAGUGCCCUUAUCCACGUACAAAGAUGAAACUUUACCUCCUUGUUGUGUUGCACAAAAUAUGUUCUGGUGGCCCUUAUAAUCUGACCACAAUGUGGCCAUAUUUGCAAGCCAAUAUGUCCAUGUUUGAUGUUCAAUGUUAUAUUUAAGAGAAUUUUGUUCACAACAUCCCCCUACAUACAAGGAUAUUAAAUACUACUGUUGAACUUACUCAAACUUAACAUUCAUGCAAUGUAAUAUAAGAAGUUAAAAGGCAAUUGAAAUAUUACAGUUGGAUUCUCCAAGGUGUAGUGGACAAGAUUGGAAUUACUCUUUUAAAGUGAUAAGAGAAUAGGCUGCUCUUAAAUUCCACCUAAGGUGCCCCUGCUUUAGAUGGACUGCCAUACUGGAGGCCUGCUUGAUGGUAGGCUAUAAUUAUGUAUUUUGGCCACUAUUUACAUUCUAAUUUGCUUCACUUUACUGAUGUUUGAGCGUUAAAUGCUAGUAAAUUGUUCUGACCGAGUACUUUAUGCUUUGCAGGAGCAAUUCCGGGCUACAAUGAGGUUAGGGAAUGUUUUUUUAGCUAAUAUGGAGCGUUGAAGGCCAAGUAAAAGCUUAUGGACUAAAUUGGGAGUUCGUUCGAGGAUCAAAGGAGGAUAGCACACUUAAAAAGAAGAACGAAGAAGAGUGCAGAAAAUUGCCCAGGUGCGCGGCCGCGUAUGUACCGCACACUGGGCCACGCAAGUCAAGCAGAAACUGGCCAAAGUGCGCGGCCAGAUGCGCGGUCACCUGCCCAGGUGCGCGGCCGUGCACGUCCUUCCGAGAAAAAAUUUCCCAGGGCUAAAAUUGUAAUUCCGAGGGAGACUUUCCUUGACCUAUAUGAAGCCCAACUUGUCUAAAAAGAGGGUAUCUUGGAUUUUAGGAGAACUUUGGAGGGAGAAGAAGCACGGAAGCAACGGGAAAGCGAGAUACUUGAUCCAAUUCACUCAAUACGAAAGUUUGGUUGAAUUUGGAAAUUGUAAUGUCUUCUUGUUCUUCUAAUACUCUUGUUUUGAAUACUUUCUUCGUUAUAGAGUAAUUCUCCUUAGGGUUGUUGACGGAUGCUGUGAAUUGAUUAUUGUUUUGGGUUUUACUCUAUGUUAAUUCCUCAACCUUACUGAAUGAGUUAUUAAUUGAAUUGCAAGAUUUAUUGUAGUUUUACUUUAAUCGAAAGAGAACUUUGCUGCUAUUUGCUUUGUACCAUCUUAAUUAGGUUGAUUUUAUGCCUCUUCUAGAUAAUCGAAAGAGCCUAAGUAGGUAUCGAUUUACCCAGUUCAGGAGAAUAACCGAGAGGUGUUCUUUGAAAGAUCAUUCAUUCACUAAUUUAGUGCAUAUAUUCAUAGGAAUUGUCAUUAGGUUAGCUAAAGGAAUCAAAUUUAUUCGGAAGGAAAAUUGGAAUCCCUGAAGUAACAUGAUCAUCUAUUGAACUCGAAAGAAUCAAUAGAAGGUAAGAUUGAAUUUAGCACAGAGUACCCAGAACAAUAGUUGAUCACAUAUCUUGUCAUCGCCCUUGCCUCUCUCAUUGAUAUUCCUUUGUUAUUACUAAUCAUUCGGGUAUCACCAGUUUCUUACAGCUGAUAAUCUUAGUUUAUUUGUAGUCAAUAAUAACAUAAAUCAAAAGGUUUAUUAUCAUGGAUAGUGUUAAGCUGAAGAAUUAGUAGAAUAUUAUUGAAACCAAUCCCUAUGGAGACGAUUUAAUACUAUACUAUCUUUGACUAGCGAGCCUAUGUUUUGUACACCGGUUUUGCGCUCGUCAAAUUUUGGCGUCGUUACCGGGGAUUGGCGAUUAAUAGUGUUUAAAUUAGUUUUCAGUGCAAAUUCAAGAAUUAUUUUAUUUUAUUUUCCUUUUUUACGCUCUUUUCAUCUGUGUGCAGGCAACAGGUUAAGUUCAGCGGUGUAUGACUCGAUCCUCUUCAAACGACUUGGUACCAUAUGACCUAGAGUUAGACAAACACCUGAGGUAGUUGAAAAGAGAGAAAGGAUCGAGUGGAUUGUUGUUGGGUCAGCCUUCAACUCAGGAUAAAAUGGUGAACAAUAAAGAGAUAGUAGACCUAUCUGCCAAAGAGGCGGCUCAGCGACAGGAAGCACGGUUACCGGCUAAAGCGGCCCGCAGAAUUGCUAAUGAAACAGUUGAUGGGGAUCAAAGACUCAAUCCCAACCGAAUUAUCAAGCAUGCAUUUGAAAAUACAGGUCCUAUGCCUGGGAAAUUACUGGAAAAUUAUGCUAGACCGGUGUACAACCAACAACAGUCUAGUGUGUGGCCCCCACCCAUCGAUGCCAACAAUUUUGAGCUCAAACAGGGAGUCAUCCAGACCAUUCAUAAUAAUUGCAUUUUCAGCGGCAAACCCAAUGAAGAUCGCAACAACCAUCUGAUAGACUUUGAUGAAAUUAUGAACACAUUCCGCUUCAAUGGAGCAUCACAUGAUGCUAUAUACCUCAGAGCAUUUCCGUUCUCACUGAAGGAUGAUGCAAAGCAGUGGCUGAGAAGUUUGCCUACAGGGUCAAUCCGUACGUGGGAGGAAAUGACCACCAAGUUUCUGGAAAAAUAUUUCUCGGCUGCUAAGACUGGAAGGAUAAGGAAGGAGAUUCACAAUUUCAGCCAAGGCGAAGGAGAAAUAGUGUUCGAAGCAUGGGAAAGAUUUAAGGAGCUGCUGUGGAGGUGCCCUCAUAACGAAAUAGUGCAAUGGAUGCAACUUCAGGACUUUGGGGAUAGUUUAAACCCGUCAUCAAGGAGAUUGCUAAAUAGUGCAGUUGCAGUCCCUCUAAUGAAGAAAACUCCGGAAGAGAUUGUUACUCUCUUGAAUGAACUAUCUGAAGAUGCAGAUCCAUGGUCCACAGACCAAGGGGAUCGAAGAAAUUCAGCAGGGGUGCACCAAGUAGAAUCGUCUGUAGCAAUGCAGGCCCAAAUUGCAGCAAUGACUAAGGACAUCAAGCAAUUGACUAUGGCUCAGGCACAAACUCAACCACAGGUGGGUUGUGACAUUUGUGGGAUGGGACACCCUACACACGAGUGUCAAGCUACAACUGAGGAGGUCAACGCUGUCGGAAAUUUUAAUAGAGGAAACUACCAAGGUGGGAACAACUUUAAUGUUAUGGGUCAAAAACAUACAGGUUUUUCGUGAAGUUCACCUAAUGGGAGCUUGAACUCAUGGCAGCAAAAUAAUCUCAGACCACCAGAUUUUCAGAACCAGCAGAGGCAACAAUACCAACCACCACAGCCAAAUCAGUCAAAUAUGGAAGAUCACAUGAAGGCAUUCAUUAACAAAAUAGAUAAAAAAAUUCAAGAUUCAGGGUACGGCUAUUCGGAACUUAGAAAGACAAAUGGGACAGAUUGCAAAAUUAUUGUCUGAGAGGGCUCCUGCGACUCUCUCAUCCGACACGGAAAAGAACCCGAAGGAAACAAUAAAAGUUGUAUCUCUGAGAAGCGGAAAAGUAUUGACUGACCCAAUAGUGAAGGCUAAAUCAGAAGUGGUCAGCAAGCAGACUGAGACAACAGCAGAGGAAAAGAAUGAAGAGCAAAAGAGCCAGAAUAGCGGGGUACAAAAAGAAAUUGAAGAAAGUAGACAUAUGCCAGCUCUACCGUUCCCUCAAAAGAUGAAGCGAGAGAAACUUGACAAGUGUUUUGGGUGAUUCUUGGAGAUGCUCAAACAACUUUAUGUGAACAUCCCUUUCGCAGAGGUACUCACUCAGAUGCCCGCUUAUGCAAAGUUCCUGAAGGAAAUCCUGUCUAGCAAGAGAAAAUUAAAGGAGACAACAGUGGCCAAGCUCAAUGCCCACUACAGUGCCAUAUUGCAAAACAAAAUUCCCUAAAAGUGUGGGGACCCAGGAAGCUUCACCAUACCAUGCUCGUUGGGGAGUGAAAAUUUUGACAAGGCCCUCUGUGAUUCAGGUGCGUCUAUAAAUCUAAUGCCUCUGUCUGUAUUCAUGAAACUGGAAGGUGAACUUGGAGUGAUCAAAUCAGUACCAGUGUCCCUAUAACUGCUAACCAAACAACCAUUCUACCUGAGGCAAUCAUUGAACAUAUUCUAGUAUGGGUAGACAAGUUUGUGUUCCCCGUAGACUUUAUUGUGGAUAUGGAGGUGAAUAAGGAGGUGCCUUUAAUUCUAGGGAGGCCAUUUUUGUGUACAGGUAGAGCCAUCCUUGAUAUUCAUGAGGGGCAGCUUAUGCUUAGAGUGGGUACUGAGAAAGUGGUAUUCCAGAUGAAGAGAAUGAUGAAAUACCCCAGUGAUGAGGUGUUUUCCUACUCAUGUUUCAGGCUAGAUGUCAUUGGAGAGUUGGCUGAGAAGUAUAAGUUUGACAAACUUGUGGGGGAUACUCUAGAGAGGUGUAUUACCGAGUCUAGCACAGUGGAUGAUGAAGAUCCAGAAAUAAAGAAAGAGGAUGAAGCUCUUGAAACGGAGGAUCAAGUGGUUGAUGAGGAGGAACUAAAAAAGGAGGCUUCUAAGCCCAAUGUGGAAUUGAAAGUCCUCCCCACUCACUUGAAAUAUGCUUUUCUCGAAACUAACAAUUUUUCUGUGAUUAUUUCUGUUGAUUUGACAGGUACACAGGAGCAAAAAUAGGUGGAGCUGCUGUCAAAGCACAAGAAGGCCAAUGGUUGGAGCAUAGCUGAUAUUCAAGGAAUCAGUCCAGCCAUAUGCAUGCACAAAAUUCUGUUGGAAGAAAAUAGCAAGCCUGUAGUGCAGCCUCAAUGCAAGCUGAACAAAAAACUGGAGGAGGUAGUGCAUAAGGAGAUCAUCAAAUUGCUAGAUGCUGGAAUAAUUUUUCCCAUCUCUGAUAGCCAGUGGACUAGUCCAGUACAAGUUGUACAUAAAAAGGGGGGCAUGACAAUGGUGAAAAUGAAGAUAAUGAAUUGAUCCCCACAAGAACAGUCACCGGAUGGAGAAUGUGCAUUGAUUAUAGAAGGCUGAAUGGUGCAACAAGGAAAGACCACUUUCCACUCCUUUUUAUUGAUCAAAUGCUCGAGAAGGUGGCUGGACACGGAUGCUACUGCUUCCUGGAUGGGUAUUCAGGCUACAAUCAGAUACCUAUUACCCCAGAAGAUGUUGAGAAGACCACAUUCACUUGCCUAUCAGGUAUUUUUGCUUACAAGAGGAUGUUGUUUGGGCUAUGUAAUGCACAUGCCACUUUUCAAAGGUGCAUGAUGUCUAUAUUCUCUGAUUAAAAUGGGAAGUGUCUAGAGGUGUUCGUGGAUUAUUUCACCCUUUUUGGUGAUGACUUUGAGGAUUGUUUGAUGAAUUUGAAGCUCGUGCUUGAACAUUGUGAAGCAACUCACUUGGUUCUUAACUGGGAGAAGUGUCACUUCAUGGUAAAGGAGGGAAUUGUCCUGGGCCACAAGGUAACUGCGCAUGGAAUUGAGGUUGACAAAGCUAAGGUGGAUGUUAUUGCUAGGCUCCCUCCCCCGACUUUGGUGAAGAGCAUAAGAAGCUUCUUGGGACAUGUUGGGUUCUAUAGGAGGUUUAUAAAAAUAAUUCCAGCAUUACUAAGCCGUUGACACAAUUACUAGCAAAGGAUGCCAAGUUUAUUUUCAAUGUGGGGUGCUUAAGAGCAUUCGAAUUGAUAAAGGAAAAGCUUGUGAGUGCUCCUAUUAUGGUGACACCUGAAUGGAGCCAGCCAUUUGAGAUAAUGUAUGAUGCGAGUGAUGUAGCUAUGGGAGCGGUUCUGGGGCAACAAAGAAAUAAAAUGUUUAGGCCCAUCUACUAUGUAAGCGGGACAUUGAAUGAUGCUCUAGUCAAUUAUGCCAGUACUGAGAAGGAGUUUUUUGCUGUGGUCUUUGCUUUUGACAAGUUUAGAUCAUACCUGGUGGGAAGCAAGGUGAUUGUACACACUGAUCACUCAGUGUUGAAAUACCUGUUGAGUAAGAAAGAAUCCAAGCCGCGUCUGAUGUGGUGGGUAUUGUUUCUCCAAGAGUUUGACUAGGAAAUAAAAGAUAGGAAGGGCAUAGAAAAUCAAGUCACAGAUCUUCUAUCUCGGCUUGAGAAACCUCCAGUUGAAAUAGUCGAAAUAAGGGAAGAGUUCCCUGAUGAGCAGAUUGUUUCCAUAGCAGCGGUCUCCGAAAGGCCGCCUUGGUAUGCGGAUGUAGCUAACUUUUUGGCUAGUGGAUGGUUACCCCGUGACCUCACUCAUGAUCAAAGAAGGAAGCUUCAAGGUGAGGUAAAAAGUUACUUUUAGGAUGACCCUUUCUUGUUUAAACUGUAUGCAGAUGGUGUGAUUCGAAGAUGUGUGCCUGAAGGAGAAAUGGCAAGCAUUCUAUCACAUUGCCAUGAUGGAGCAGCUGGAGGUCACUAUGAUGGAAAUCACACUGCAGCAAAGGUCAUGGAAGCCAGUUUCUUUUGGCCUACUCUGUACAAAGAUGCAAGGGCGUAUGUAGCUGCAUGUGACAAGUGUCAGAGAGUAGGUAAUAUUAGCAAGAGGGAUGAAAUGUCGCUCAACUCCAUUCUGGUAUGUGAAAUUUUUGACGUUUUAGGCAUCGACUUCAUGGGUCCGUUCCCAAUGUCGCAUUCUCAUGAGUAUAUCCUAGUGGCCGUUGACUACAUCUCUAAAUGGGUCGAAGAAAUUCCUACUAGGACCAAUGAUGCUCGGGUGGUGUGUGAGUUUUUGCGAAAAAAUAUCUUUACCUGUUUUGGGACACCUCGAGUGAUUAUCAGUGAGUAGUAGAGAUUAAAAAAAACAUAAAAGCUUAAAAAUUUCGACUUUUCCCGACGAUGUAUAUCAUUCGACGGGUUUCUUGAGGGAUUAAAAUGGAAAGAAAAAUGCAAAAAUAUUUUCUUGUGUAGUGAGUGUAAUAAUUCCCCUUUGGUUUUUCUUUGUGCCACGGUUCUUUUUUAAGGGUUUCGUUUGAACCGGGUGUAACUAGCUUUAUUUUUUUGCUAUGGUUUGAAAUGAAAACAAGGUCUCUUGACUUCAUUAUUCCUUGAGAAUAGUGAGUGCUCUAGUGUGACGCUUAGGAUCAGCUUUUGACUCUUGUAUAAGUGCCUUAUGUUGUAUGUUAUUAACUUUGCUUAACUACUUUGACUAGAGUGUCUUGAUGAUCCAAUCUUGAGUGAGUCAUGUGCCAUGUACAUGUGAGGUUUGUUGUAUUCUGUGCAUUGCAUUUGAUAUCUAGAACUUGCCCCAUGUAUUUGCAAAGCGAAAUAGUAGUUUUGUUCAGUCUAGGAAGAGAUAUAGGUAUUUCUUUGUUGAGCCAGUGAUAUUCUUUUACCACUUAAUUAUUAUGUAUCUUAGUUAACCCCUUUGAGCCUGUAAUCCUAUUUUGUUGGUAACUACAUUACAAGCCUUACCCUUUUUGUUUGAAUUGACCAUCUAUUUGAACCACUUACCUCCUUUGAGCAUUUAAAAUUGUUAUAAACUUUGUAAAAGUUGAAGUGUGGGGUGGUUGGUUUGGCUUUUGAGUGGAACUAGUGAAUUAAAGAGAAAGGUGCAAUGUUCUGAAAAAAAGUAAGAGUCACUUGUAUGAAAAAGAAAAAGACAAAAAAAAGAAAAAAAAAAA
rnacentral:lncRNA from 1 species